rnacentral:lncRNA from 1 species
GGGCUCCUCUGCCUACUAGAGGCACCAGCUUCCUGGCUGCCUGCCUGUUAAACUGAGUCUGUGUCUCUUUGUCAUUCAUUCUUGUUUGCUUCCGGGUCAGCGAGAACAAAGUCGUGGGUUUAGGUCCCCCACAUGUGGUGCCUGGUUCACGUAAUCAACACUGAAGUCAAAAUACAGAACUGUUCUCCCAGAAGGCUCUACCUUGCUAUGUCUUCAUAGCCAAUCCACUCGUCUCCCAUUUCUAACCCAUGACAACCAGUAACCUGUUUCCUAUCUCCAUCAUUUCCCUUCAGCCCCCCUUCUGCCUUGCAAUGCAGUGACACAGCUUGCAUUCUGCCCAGCUCUCACUGUGGUCCAUUGCCUGGGGGCAGAAACUUCUGGGACACCAAACAGAGGGAACUCAAAUGAUAGGUGAUGGACUGUAUCCUGCAGGAGGAAGAGUCUUCAUUCUAAUCACAAAAGCCGCAGUCAGCUUGUCAGAUUACACACCUUGCUUGUAAACAGGAGCAUUUCCUGGGGCAGCCCUCAAAGUCACCAUGUAAUUGAGGAAGCCACAAGAAAUAAUACUGUCCCGGGAAGAAAAUACUGGCAAAGAGAAUGAAAGAAGAGAACAACCCAGAGAAGAGAGCAUCUUACUGUUGCUUAACCUGUAAUGGAACAGCUAGAGUAGGAAGAUAGGGUUGACAGACUCAAGUGAGCAGGGAGCUCUGCCUGGCUACACCAGUGCCCUCCAUGUCCCUUUGGGUGGCUCCGCCAAUGCCUGCCUGUCUGCUGCUGCUGCCCUUGUGGUACCCUACAUGCCUGUGUCCCUUCAUCUCUGUCCUCAUGGGGCCCAACAGCUUCUACCUCCUGUUGCCUUCCAGUCUUCCAGAGCCCCCCACCCCUGCCCCGAAUUGUGCUACAAGGGACUGUGGGAAAACAAGCCUCAGGCUCGUGGGCUGUCUGCCUUGGGGAGAGCAGAGAAACAUCGCAGAGUGACAGUACCACCAUCAGUACCAAAAUGCGACUUCACUGUCACCUGACUGCUUUCUGGUGUCAUUUUUGUGGCACUGUUAUGAUGUUAGUGCAUUCAUGUACAGAGCUAGGCAUCAUCUGCUGCAGUGGGGAAGGAAGAAUAGGAAAAAGUAUAGGAGUCUUGUUCACCUCUCUCCCCAGCACCUGUCACGGUAUUCCACAGACAACAGACAUUCAAUAAAUAUUGGCGUCUUAGUAUGUGUUUCUCCUGUAGAGAGUUCCUAGUGUCCCUCAGAUGUCUCAGUCUCCAUGCUACUAGAGACUAUAUAAAUGAAUUGUAUGUUCCCUUUGGAGGAUAAUUUGUUAAGCUACAUCAAAGCCUGGAGAAUGUACAUAUUGUAUGGCCAGCAAUUUCUAGGAAUUUAUUAUAAAGGAAUAAUAGAACUAAUAUAUAAAAUGGCA